rnacentral:rRNA from 1 species
UACGUAGGGGGCAAGCGUUGUCCGGAUUUAUUGGGCGUAAAGAGCGUGUAGGCGGCCAGGUAGGUCAGCUGUGAAAACUCGAGGCUCAACCUCGAGACGCCGGUUGAAACCAUCUGGCUAGAGUCCGGAAGAGGAGAGUGGAAUUCCUGGUGUAGCGGUGAAAUGCGCAGAUAUCAGGAAGAACACCCGUGGCUAAGGCGGCUCUCUAGUACGGUACUGACGCUGAGACGCGAAAGCGUGGGGAGCGAACGGGG